rnacentral:lncRNA from 1 species
AACACUUGAUGAACAUUUGCCUUUUUUUUUACCUUUUAAAUCACAUAAAUUCAGAAAUGAUAUUGAUUAUCCAUCCACUGAGAGAUUAUUAAAUCAAUUAAAUUUAUAUGCAAUAAUUACAAUAUUGAACUUAGUGUGCCUACUAAUUAUAUUGGAUGUAAUUAAUUUGGUCAGCUAUGUUGGCUAGUGAGUCAUUUCAUCUAUACUGGUAAAUGGACCUACACGUUAAAGAUACUGCCAAUUUUUUGAAUUUUCCAUUUGCUCACUUAAAAAACAUGAUUAAUAAUGCUAGCUGAAAUCCAAUAAUUAUAAUAUUGACCUUGACGUGCCUACUAAUAAUUUUGGAUGUAAUUAAUUUGGUCAGCUAUGUUGGCUAGUGAGUCAUUUCAUCUAUACUGGUAAAUGGACCUACACGUUAAAGAGGAAGAUACUGCCAAUAUUUUGAAUUUCCGAGAUCCUCUUCUAAUAGCCCCAAAAAAAAAAAUUGUGUGCAAAUGGCUCAAAUAAAGGAAUAAAUGAAAAAUAAGGAAAUUCAAAAAACAUCAUUUUUUAUUUUGAUAAAAGUAAUUGGAUGGAUUUCACAAUUAGAAUGAAGAACAAGAGAAAAAGACGAAACGUUAUUGAAUUUCUUUUUUUCAAAACCCAAAAGCAUAUAAACUGUAUUUGUGUCCAAAUUCAAAAUCAAACGGGCACUCGAAUUUUCUUAUCAAUUUUUAAUGAAAAACACAAAACUUGUCGGCAGCAACGCGGAAAAAAAAAGAAAAAGAAAAUGAAAAACAAGGGAAAAAGAACAUGCAAAAUGUAAAGAGCUUCCGGUUACGUGAUAAACAAAAAAAAAAAAGAAAUAGUAAAUAAAAUGGAAAUUGUUCAUAACAUAGGGACCCACUAGACAUUGGGCGCCGAAUCGAUCAACGGUUGGGAUGUCAUCAAUCGCAAUGACUUCUAAUGUUAAUUUUACAUUAUUAUAAAUAUUAAUUAAUUCAAUUUUUCUCUUUAAAUAAAUGAUAUAAAAGAUUUCGAAAUGAAUAAGUGUUCGAUAAUUCAUAGUCUUUCCCUAUCAUGAGGAUAACUAAGCUAACGACAAUCUUGGCCUAAAAGUAUAAUCUUUAUAACCUCACAAAAUAUAGUUUUGUGAAAGAAAUAAUCAUAUAAUGCCACCCACUGUAGGGUCAUCCUCCUUGUUCUUUUUCAACUUUUCCUUCCAAAAACAAGUUAAUUUUAUCACUAACAUCAAUUUUUCUUUUUUUUUUUUUUUUUCUUUUUUUAAAGUGAGGCUCAAUCAAUAGUACCGUACAUCCGCCUUGGCCGUACAGCAGUAUAUAUAUAUAUAUAGAUAUAUAGAUAUGUGUGUGAAAACAAAAAAAUAUUUAUAUAUAUAUAAAGAGUGAUACCGAUUAAACUUGCAUACUGAUCAUCACAAACAGAGGCGCCAUUUUACUGAACUUGUAAUAUGUAAAUGCCAAAGAGAGAGAGAGAGAGAGAGAGAGAGAGUUUUUAAUUUUCUUUUUUAGUGUAGCUUUUGUUUUUUAAAAAAAAAAAAUUCCAGUUUCUUAAACCCAAUAAUAACAGUGAUAUCAAACUAAGAGCGUAAAAUUAUUUAGGCAUAACAGAUUAAGAAAACUUUCUAAUCAUGCAUCAAGAUAAGGAUCUAAAUUCUAAACUGAAGCAGUGAAAAGAAAAAGGAUAAAUAAUGAAAGCAAAUUUAAAAAAGAAACAAAAGAAGGAAAAAAUUAACAUAUAUAUAUGAGAAGAUCAUACCUUUUAUAAUUUAUAUAUGUGUGCGUGUAUGUAAAAAGUAGAAUCUUGAUUCUUGAAUAUCAGCUGAGUUUCUAUUCCCUCUCUUUCCUAAAAGAAGGGGCUGCUGGUGCUGCUACUGCUGCACUUUUUUUUUUAUUUCUGAAAUGAGAGAGACGGGAGAUCAGAUCAGCAGGAACUUUGUAGCAAAUUUUAGUUUUCUUUCCGUUUUGGCAGCUGGGAAAGUGAAAAGAAAUUUUUUGGAAUUUUCCGGGAAUGUAAUUGCAAAAUAUCUCUGGCCCGGCCUCUUGUGUUGGUCUAAUACUGGUUGCUUCUGCUGCUUUGUGGCCAGUUGUAAAGCUGCGACUGCUUUUGGUCUCUCCCUCUCUCUCUCUCUCUCUCUCUCUCUCUCUCUCUCUCUCUCUCUCUCUCUCUCUCUCUCUCUCUCUCUCUCUCUCUCUCUCUCUCUCUCUCUCUCUCUCUCUCUCUCUCUCUCUCUCUCUCUCUCUCUCUCUCUCUCUCUCUCUCUCUCUCUCUCUCUCUCUCUCUCUCUCUCUCUCUCUCUCUCUCUCUCUCUCUCUCUCUCUCUCUCUCUCUCUCUCUCUCUCUCUCUCUCUCUCUCUCUCUCUCUCUCUCUCUCUCUCUCUCUCUCUCUCUCUCUCUCUCUCUCUCUCUCUCUCUCUCUCUCUCUCUCUCUCUCUCUCUCUCUCUCUCUCUCUCUCUCUCUCUCUCUCUCUCUCUCUCUCUCUCUCUCUCUCUCUCUCUCUCUCUCUCUCUCUCUCUCUCUCUCUCUCUCUCUCUCUCUCUCUCUCUCUCUCUCUCUCUCUCUCUCUCUCUCUCUCUCUCUCUCUCUCUCUCUCUCUCUCUCUCUCUCUCUCUCUAUAUAUUUAUAUAGAAGCAUACAUAUUACAUAACAGAUGGUUGAAGAAAGUUUAUUAGAAACUGUUGCUUUCUUCACUUCCAUUUUCAUCGACAUUGUUGCUCCACGUGUCCUUCCUUGUUUUUUUUUUUAAGUGUGCAACACAUUGUAUUUAUUUAUUUUAUAUUAUAUCGUCAUCGGCGGGACCACAAUUGGCUUGGCUCCAAGUUUCUUUCUUUUUCUUUUUUCGUUUUUUGACUCUUUAAAUUGCCAACUCAAUAACACAAUAAUUACUUAAUCAUAUGUUUGCCGAGACUCAUUUAGAUUAAUCUCAUUGGUCACAUGGGCGAUGAGCAAGAGGAAUUCUUGUGGUCAGAAUUGAGUAGAGAGAACUUUUAAAUGAAGGGAGAAAGUGAGAAACCUUAGCCUAUUGGUCAUUAAUUUGGGUUGGCAUUUUUCGAUUCAUUAAUAGGUCAUAAUCUCCAUUAGUUGCUUCCUUGUCAUUGUAAUUUAGAUUUGAAAAAAAAAAAAAAAGCUAGGCAAUUGAUUAGUGAAUUUAAAAAAAUAAAAUAAAAUUAUGUAGUCCCACACAUAUCUCAUCCCCAACUCUUUUGGCUUGAUCCUUUGUAUUAAUUAAUGCAAUUGUGUUAUCAAUAGUGAUGUGUUGUUCUUGUGGAUACCCCGGUCACAAUGAUUUCCAAAAAAAAAAAAAUGGUUGAAAAAUGAAUAUUGAAAACGGAAAAAAAAAAAGUUAAGAUACAUAUAUAUUUACAAAUUGUUGUAUAAAUUUUAUUUGUACAAUUUGAGGUGAGAGUUUAGGAGGCAUGAAUCAUUUUUAGAACAAUAUUGAAUUUGAAAUAGUUAUCUAGAACCUGUAAUGUACAUUAAUAAAAUAGAAACAAAAACUUUUGUAUUUCAUUGUCGUAGAAUUUUGUUUUUAAUAAAUAAAUAAAUAAAAAUAUUAGGGUUUCUAUCUUUCUUCUAUUCCUUUUAGCCUCGGAAAAAUACUCUCCUCCAUUUAAAAAAAUGAAAAAAAAAUAGUUUCUCUUGUGAAUUUAAACGGUUAAGGGAAUGAUUAAUUUGGUGUUAAUUUGAUUUAUGAGAAAAUAAUCAACUACAUCACAUAAUAUCUAAACAUGAUUUAUUAUACUUAUUUUAUACUUAAACACACGAUCUUUGUAAUCUCCUGACGAUCUAAUUUUGAUAUGUAAAUUAAUUUCAAUUGUAUAAUUUAAUAUUUAAUUCAAUCGAUUUACAAACACUUGACGAACAUUUGCAUUUCCUUUCUCCCUUUUAAAUCACAAAAAGACGCCGGUUUCAUAGUCAGAUAUGACACUAAUUAUCCAUAUCCACUGAGAGAUUCUUAAAUCAAUUAAAUUUAUAUGCAAUAAUUACAAUAUUGAACUUAGUGUGCCUACUAAUUAUAUUGGAUGUAAUUAAUUUGGUCAGCUAUGUUAGCUAGUGAGUCAUUUCAUCUAUACUGGUAAAUGGACCUACACGUUAAAGAUACUGCCAAUUUUUUGAAUUUCCCAUUUGCUCACUUGAAAAACAUGAUUAAUCAUGCUAGCUCAAAGCUACAUCAUCGAGAUCACCUUCUAAUAGCCCAAAAAAAAAUAAAAAUUGUUUGCAAAUGGCUCAAAUAAAGGAAUAAAUGAAAAAUAAGGAUAUUCAAAUAACAUCAUUUUUAAUUUUGAUGAAAGUAAUUGGAUGGAUUUCACAAUAAGAAUGAAAAACAAGAGAAAAAGACGAAACUUUAUUGAAUUUCUUUUUUUUUUUCAAAACUCAAAAGCAUAUAAUUGUAUUUGUAUCCAAAUUCAAAAUCAAACGGGCACUCGAAUUUUCUUAUCAAUCUUUAAUGAAAAACACAAAACUUAUUGGCAGCAACGUGAAAAAAAAAAAAAAAAAAAAGAAGGGAAAAAUAACAGGCAACGUAAUGUAAGAGCUUCCGGUUACGUGAUAAAAAAAGAAGAAGAAAUAGUAAAUAAAAUGGAAAUUGUUCAUAACAUUGGGACCCACUAGACAGACAUUGGGCGCCGAAUUGAUCAACGGUUGGGAUGUCAUCAAUCGCAAUGACUUCUAAUGUUUCACAAAUUUUUGUGCUAACUUUCGGUUACAGUCACAAUCCACAUGGAUUUCUCUCUCAUGUCUGAAGAUAUUCACGAGAUAGAUUUUUUCUAGUGUUAAGGGUAGUUUUGCUGUUAAUUUUACAUUCUUAUAAAUAUUAAUUAAUUCAAUUUUUCUCUUUAAAUAAAUUAUAUAAAAGAUUUCGAAAUGGAUAAGAGUUCGAUAAUUCAUAUAGUGUAAUCUUACGCUAUCGUGAGGAUAAUUAAGCUAAUGACAAUCUUGGUCUAAAAGUAUAAUCUUUAUAAUCUCACAGAAUAUAUUUUUGCGAAAGAAAUAAUCAUAUAAUGUCACCCACUAUGGGUCCAUCCUCCUUGUUCUUUUUCAACUUUUCCUUCCAAAAACAAGUUAAUUUUAUGACUAACAUCAAUUUUUCUUUUUCUUUUUUUUUUCUUUUUUUUUUUAAGUGAGGCUCAAUCAAUAUCAUCAACAAUUGAAGCAAACAAACAUAAGACUUAUCUCUGUGUGUGUGAAAAAAAAAUAUUUGUUUGUGUGUGUAUAUAUAUAUAUAAAAAGAGUGACACCGAUUAAACUUGCAUACUG